UGAGAGUUUUGAUGAAAAAGUGUUUAAACUUUACUUUUUCGAUGUUUAUGAUGUAGAUCUGAGAAGUGAACUGUCCUUUUGUGUUUAGAUAUGUUUGUUGCACUUGAAUACAAACUCAUUUGGGGUUUAUAACAUGAAAAAUGGGAUUUUUGGGUGAAUUUGGGUGGAAAUCGCAUGUUUUGAGCAGUUCUGGCAGGAGCUGUUCGCUACAGCUC
rnacentral:lncRNA from 1 species